GUGACCAAGGUCCAUCUGUGGUCUCCCCACUCCCUGUUGGGGAGAAGCAGCAUCAAGUACCAGGGACACUGGGGUGUCAGCAGUGUCCUUUGCUAGAGAAAGAAGCAUACAAGCUGAGAAAACAGCUAGCCGUCAUGCGGGCCCUCAACAAAAGGUUCCAGGCCCUUUGAAGUGAACGUUCUGCUCUCCACAGCCCUUCCCCCACUCCUUACUGUUAAGGCAGCCAGAGUGGGCCUGACUCUGCUCUGCCUGACAGGCUGAGCCCAGCUUCCCUGUAGGAGAGAUCAGACUACAACUCAUGGAUCCCCGGGGCUGUGAUGUGGCCCUGCUUCUUCCUUCUACCUGUUCUACAGCCAGAGCCACCUUUUAUGCCCCUCCUUUUGUCCCCUG